AGUCCGAUAGCGAACAAGUACCGUGAGGGAAAGUUGAAAAGUACUCUGAAGAGAGAGUAAACAGUACGUGAAACCGUAUAAAGGUAAACGGGUGGCGUCAAGCUGCAAGCCUGGAGGAUUCAGCUGGUCAUCAUGUAGUGUAUACGUCCUGUGUAUUUCAGUCGGUAAUAGGCGAGUAGUCCACUGGGUAACGGUGGGCCCGACCGCAAGGUUGGGAUGUAUGUGCCACACGGUUGGUGGUGUACGCUGCUCAACUAUUGGACUGGAUGGCCAGUGCACUUCCUCCGUUAAGGUGAACACCACGACCGGUGGAACUGCCAGUCUGGUAUGGUCAAGUUGUGUCCAAUUGUGCUUUCGGGUGCAUUGGAUGCAAUCACAGGCAAAUUCGGUGGACGGUGAGUAGGUUUCGGCUUGCUCAUGUUAUCGGUCAUCGGUUGUCAACGGGUCUGUCUGUCAGCGUUUGCAGUAUCUGGCGGAUGAUCUGGUGGACCAUACUGGUAAGAAUAACUGUGCAGGGCACCGGAGUUAUCGGUCUCAAAUUCCGACUGGCGCAUGCGCUGCAAGUGUGUGUGGAGAUGUCAUUGCGGCCUGUCGUUGGCUAGGUCUGAUUGUCGUGUUGCCUGCGCAAAGUGGGUCCGACAGUGGCUUGGCUACGGUUGGUGCAUGCAGUGGCAUUUCUUUGUCAGUUGGUGUGGGCCGCAUAGUCUGUGGUGUAGUGGUAGAUUAGCUACCCGACCCGUCUUGAAACACGGACCAAGGAGUUCAACAUGCACGCGAGUCAAUGGGCACUUCCGAAACCCAAAGGCGCAGUGAAAGUGAAGCUACACGUUGUCUUCGGGCAGCGGGUAGUGUGGUGAGAUCCUGCUGUUACUCGCAUCUGCACUUCUGUGUACUUGUUGGCACAGGGCGCAAAGAGCGGUAGGCGCAUCACCGGCCCGUCUCAUGAUGUGGUCAUUGGUGUAACCAUUCCAGUGCGUCAUCGUGGCGGAGCAUGAGCGUGCAUGUUGAGACCCGAAAGAUGGUGAACUAUGCUUGCGUAGGUUGAAGCCAGAGGAAACUCUGGUGGAAGACCGCAGCGAUUCUGACGUGCAAAUCGAUCGUCAAACGUGAGUAUAGGGGCGAAAGACUAAU
rnacentral:rRNA from 1 species